CGGGUGACGAGCGGCGGACGGGUGAGUAAUGUCUGGGAAACUGCCUGAUGGANGGGGAUAACUACUGGAAACGGUAGCUAAUACCGCAUAACGUCGCAAGACCAAAGUGGGGGACCUUCGGGCCUCAUGCCAUCAGAUGUGCCCAGAUGGGAUUAGCUAGUAGGUGGGGUAACGGCUCACCUAAGCGACGAUCCCUAGCUGGUCUGAGAGGAUGACCAGCCACACUGGAACUGAGACACGGUCCAGACUCCUACGGGAGGCAGCAGUGGGGAAUAUUGCACAAUGGGCGCAAGCCUGAUGCAGCCAUGCCGCGUGUGUGAAGAAGGCCUUCGGGUUGUAAAGCACUUUCAGCGGGGAGGAAGGCGUUAAGGUUAAUAACCUUGGCGAUUGACGUUACCCGCAGAAGAAGCACCGGCUAACUCCGUGCCAGCAGCCGCGGUUAUACGGAGGGUGCAAGCGUUAAUCGGAAUUACUGGGCGUAAAGCGCACGCAGGCGGUCUGUCAAGUCGGAUGUGAAAUCCCCGGGCUCAACCUGGGAACUGCAUUCGAAACUGGCAGGCUAGAGUCUUGUAGAGGGGGGUAGAAUUCCAGGUGUAGCGGUGAAAUGCGUAGAGAU
rnacentral:rRNA from 1 species